AGGACGAACGCUGGCGGCGUGCUUAACACAUGCAAGUCACGGGGGUCCCGCAAGGGAUAACCGGCGAACGGGUGCGUAACACGUGAACAACCUGCCCUCGUGUGGGGGAUAGCCGGGCUAACGCCCGGGUAAUACCGCAUACGUUCUCUUUGGGGAGUCCCGAGGAGAGGAAAGCUCCGGCGCACGGGGAGGGGUUCGCGGCCUAGUCAGCUAGUUGGCGGGUAAUGGCCCACCAAGGCGACGACGGGUAGCUGGUCUGAGAGGAUGGCCAGCCACAUUGGGACUGAGAGACGGCCCAGACUCCUA
rnacentral:rRNA from 1 species